UACGUAGGGGGCAAGCGUUGUCCGGAAUUAUUGGGCGUAAAGAGCUCGUAGGCGGUUUGUCGCGUCUGCUGUGAAAACCUAAGGCUCAACCUUGGGCUUGCAGUGGGUACGGGCAGACUAGAGUGCGGUAGGGGUGACUGGAAUUCCUGGUGUAGCGGUGGAAUGCGCAGAUAUCAGGAGGAACACCGAUGGCGAAGGCAGGUCACUGGGCCGCAACUGACGC
rnacentral:rRNA from 1 species